rnacentral:rRNA from 1 species
UACGUAGGGGGCAAGCGUUGUCCGGAAUCAUUGGGCGUAAAGCGCGUGUAGGCGGUUCGGUAAGUCUGCUGUGAAAGUCCAGGGCUCAACCCUGGGAUGCCGGUGGAUACUGUCGGACUAGAGUACGGAAGAGGCGAGUGGAAUUCCCGGUGUAGCGGUGAAAUGCGCAGAUAUCGGGAGGAACACCAAUUGCGAAGGCAGCUCGCUGGGACGUUACUGACGCUGAGACGCGAAAGCGUGGGGAGCGAACCGG